GAUGAACGCUGGCGGCGUGCUUAACACAUGCAAGUCGAACGGUGAAGGCGGAGCUUGCUCUGCUGGAUCAGUGGCGAACGGGUGAGUAACACGUGAGCAAUCUGCCCCUGACUCUGGGAUAAGCGCUGGAAACGGCGUCUAAUACUGGAUACGAGCUGCGAAGGCAUCUUCAGCAGCUGGAAAGAACUUCGGUCAGGGAUGAGCUCGCGGCCUAUCAGCUUGUUGGUGAGGUAACGGCUCACCAAGGCGUCGACGGGUAGCCGGCCUGAGAGGGUGACCGGCCACACUGGGACUGAGACACGGCCCAGACUCCAACGGGAGGCAGCGGUGGGGAAUAUUGCACAAUGGGCGAAAGCCUGAUGCGGCAACGCCGCGUGGGGGACGACGGCCUUCGGGUUGUAAACCUCUUUUGGCGGGGAGGAAGCGAUAGUGACGGUACCUGCAGAAAAAGCGCCGGCUAACUACGUG
rnacentral:rRNA from 1 species